AAUAAUUUGAACAACUUCAAUAUAGAAAUAUUUCAAUAACCAAUUCAGUCUUGUCUACCAAAACAACAAUUAAGAAGCACAAGUACCAGCAAACUGGGGGGCACAUAUGAACACUGACAGGCUUGUUAGGCAACUUCCCUUUCCAUUCUUGGGUUGAGGCUCAUUCCUUGGAGACCUUUGUGACUCCAUGAUAAAUGUGGAAACAGGCUUUAAUUAUCCUUAACAGUAUUUUAUUCACACAGAAACAAGGAAGAAUGACACAUCUUCACAACAAUUGCUGCUUGUUGAGUCAUCUGGUGGUAGGGAGCUCUAUGGCACUGUAACUACUUCUGACACAGGACACCAUCUUUCCACCUCUUCCACCACCACCCCACCCCCGCUGUGUAGAAAUAAAAGAAAGAUGCCACUGGAACCAGAAGACCAUAGUCUAUAUCACUUCCCUGGGACAGUAAUGGGUAGACUGCUCUGCUGCCUGUCACGGAACUUAGUCCAUGAAAGUUCUGUCUUUGAAAAGCUACAUAAGAUACCUGCAGGUUGUUCCACAGGAGGGUUGUACUGCUCCAAAGUGAUCCUGUGGAGCUGUGGAGGAUUUUACCUCAGAUGCCUCUGCUUCAGUUUCCCGAUCUGUGAAAUGAGGAUAGGAAUACUGACCUACCUGACAAGGUAAAAUAAUAAAUGUUGUUAACUUCUAUUGCGAUCA
rnacentral:lncRNA from 1 species